rnacentral:rRNA from 1 species
GGUUAAGUGAAUAAGGGCGCACGGUGGAUGCCUUGGCACUAGGAGCCGAUGAAGGACGGGACUAACACCGAUAUGCUUUGGGGAGCUGUACGUAAGCUAUGAUCCAGAGAUUUCCGAAUGGGGGAACCCAACAUCUUUAAUAGGAUGUUACGAUUGUGUGAAUACAUAGCACAUUCGAGGUAGACGCAGAGAACUGAAACAUCUAAGUACCUGCAGGAAGAGAAAGAAAAUUCGAUUCCCUGAGUAGCGGCGAGCGAAACGGGAAAAGCCCAAACCAGCAAGCUUGCUUGUUGGGGUUGUAGGACUCCAAUAUGGUAGUUCUUUCAGAUAGUCGAAUGACUUGGAAAAGUCAGUCAAAGAGGGUAAAAACCCCGUAGACGAAAUGUGGAAGACACCUAGGAGGAUCCUGAGUACGGCGGAACACGAGAAAUUCCGUCGGAAUCCGGGAGGACCAUCUCCCAAGGCUAAAUACUCCCUAGUGACCGAUAGUGAACCAGUACCGUGAGGGAAAGGUGAAAAGCACCCCGGAAGGGGAGUGAAAUAGAACCUGAAACCGUGUGCCUACAACAAGUCAAAGCCCGUUAAUGGGUGAUGGCGUGCCUUUUGUAGAAUGAACCGGCGAGUUACGAUUGCAUGCGAGGUUAAGUUGAAGAGACGGAGCCGCAGCGAAAGCGAGUCUGAAUAGGGCGUUUGAGUAUGUAGUCGUAGACCCGAAACCAUGUGAUCUACCCAUGUCCAGGUUGAAGGUGCGGUAAAACGCACUGGAGGACCGAACCCACGUACGUUGAAAAGUGCGGGGAUGAGGUGUGGGUAGCGGAGAAAUUCCAAACGAACUUGGAGAUAGCUGGUUCUCUCCGAAAUAGCUUUAGGGCUAGCCUCGGAAUUGAGAAUGAUGGAGGUAGAGCACUGUUUGGACUAGGGGCCCAUCUCGGGUUACCGAAUUCAGAUAAACUCCGAAUGCCAUUCAUUCAUAUCCGGGAGUCAGACUGUGAGUGAUAAGAUCCAUAGUCGAAAGGGAAACAGCCCAGACCACCAGCUAAGGUCCCAAAAUAUAUGUUAAGUGGAAAAGGAUGUGGGGUUGCACAGACAACUAGGAUGUUGGCUUAGAAGCAGCCACCAUUUAAAGAGUGCGUAAUAGCUCACUAGUCGAGUGACCCUGCGCCGAAAAUGUACCGGGGCUAAACAUAUUACCGAAGCUGUGGAGUACACCUUUAGGUGUAUUGGUAGGAGAGCGUUCUAAGGGCGUUGAAGGCAGAUCGUGAGGACUGCUGGAGCGCUUAGAAGUGAGAAUGCCGGUAUGAGUAGCGAAAGACAGGUGAGAAUCCUGUCCACCGAAUGACUAAGGUUUCCUGGGGAAGGCUCGUCCGCCCAGGGUUAGUCGGGACCUAAGCCGAGGCCGACAGGCGUAGGCGAUGGAUAACAGGUUGAUAUUCCUGUACCCGUUGUUUUUGUUUGAGCAAUGGAGGGACGCAGGAGGCUAAGGAAUGCAGACGAUCGGAAAUGUCUGUCCAAGCAG